GAGAUGCCCUAUGGGUUGUAAGCUCUUUUUAUACGGGAAAAAACACAGGUACGUAUACCUUCUUGACGGUACUGUAAGAAUAAAGACCGGCUAACUCCGU
rnacentral:rRNA from 1 species